rnacentral:rRNA from 1 species
AUCGAACGCUGGCGGCAGGCCUAACACAUGCAAGUCGUGCGUGCGGCGGACGGGUGAGUAAUGUCUGGGUAACUGCCUGAUGGAGGGGGAUAACUACUGGAAACGGUAGCUAAUACCGCAUACCAUCAGAUGAACCCAGAUGGGAUUAGCUAGUAGGUGGGGUAACGGUUCACCUAGGCGACGAUCCCUGGCUGGUCUGAGAGGAUGAUCAUCCACACUGGGACUGAGACACGGCCCAGACUCCUACGGGAGGCAGCAGUGGGGAAUAUUGCACAAUGGGCGCAAGCCUGAUGCAGCCAUGCCGCGUGUAUGAAGAAGGCCUUCGGGUUGUAAGGUACUUUCAGCGGGGAGGCGUUACCGGCAGAAAAAGCACCGGCUAACUCCGUGCCAGCAGCCGCGGUAAUAC